rnacentral:antisense_RNA from 1 species
CUCUGUGACUGGCUUGCUUGAUGGUUAGGGUCUGAUCGCUGCCUGAGACACCAUAUCGGUACUCCUCAGAGUUGAUGCAGAGUGUUCAUAUGAGGAGAGACUUUCCCUUGUCUCUGUCAUCUGUGAUUUCACUUCCCUGACAGAAGACGAAGCUUCCAUCUCAGAUGUUUUCUUAAAUGAUGAAACAGCAUACGCCUCUGUUCUUGUCAGCUCAGGGAAAACAGAUCUGGGGACCUCUUCAUCUCUGCGUUGGGAAGCAUAGGUGGUAUAAUCCCCUCCUGUCACGUCCAACGUUGCAUAGUCAGAAGCUUCGCCCUUGUAGUUGGUGCACACAGCACGGUGAUCACAGGAUCUGGUUUGCCACUGAAAGGAAUCUUGAUGCUGACCACUUCACCUCGGAGAGCAUGAACUGCUCCCAUGCCUUCAAGAGUUUUAGAAUUUUAUGCAAAGAUGGAACUUUACCAUAGGAAGAUACAGAAAUCAAGUUGUACUCACCAAAUGGACUCUUAAUGAUCACAACUGAGGACACUUCUAGAGGGUCACUGAUGCCGAAAGUGUUCUGAGCUGAAACCCGGAAGUAAUAGCCAGCAUUUUCUGUGAGGUUCACAAUUCUACAGGUUGUCACUGAGAUGGCU